UACGGGGGGAGCAAGCGUUGUUCGGAUUUACUGGGCGUAAAGGGCGCGUAGGCGGCCACCGCAAGUCGACUGUGAAAUCUCCGGGCUUAACCCGGAAAGGUCAGCCGAUACUGCGGGGCUAGAGUGCAGAAGGGGCAACUGGGAAUUCUCGGUGUAGCGGUGAAAUGCGUAGAUAUCGAGAGGAACACCUGCGGCGAAGGCGGGUUGC
rnacentral:rRNA from 1 species